rnacentral:rRNA from 1 species
ACGAACGCUGGCGGCUGCUUAACACAUGCAAGUCGAACGGAGUGGCGAACGGGUGAGUAACGCGUGAGCAACCUGCCUAUGACAGUGGGAUAGCCUCGGGAAACCGGGAUUAAUACCGCAUAGUCAUAGAUAGGGUCGCGUCUGAUUAGCUAGUUGGUGAGAUAACAGACCACCAAGGCGACGAUCAGUAGCCGGUCUGGGAGGAUGACCGGGCACAUUGGAGCUGAGACACGGUCCAAACUCCUACGGUAGGCAGGAGUGGUGAACAUUGCACAAUGGGGGAAACCCUGAGGCAGCGACGCCGCGUGAACGAAGAAGGUAUUCGUAUCGUAAAGUUCUGUCCUAUGGGAAGCAGUACCAUAGAAGAAAGCUCCGGCUAAAUACGUGCCAGCCGCCGCGGUAAUAC